rnacentral:rRNA from 1 species
UACGUAGGGGGCUAGCGUUAUCCGGAAUUACUGGGCGUAAAGGGUGCGUAGGUGGUUUCUUAAGUCAGAGGUGAAAGGCUACGGCUCAACCGUAGUAAGCCUUUGAAACUGAGAAACUUGAGUGCAGGAGAGGAGAGUAGAAUUCCUAGUGUAGCGGUGAAAUGCGUAGAUAUUAGGAGGAAUACCAGUUGCGAAGGCGGCCCUCUGGACUGUAACUGACACUGAGGCACGAAAGCGUGGGGAGCAAACAGG